AGGUUGGCCACCCCAGUCUAUACACUCAACACUAAAGUAACUCCCUGUGCCAACACUGGAGUAAUGGAGCAAAGCCUUCACCUCCUUUGGUUAUAUUGGACAAACUACUUGUACAGUUAAGAAGCUUCCUUGGCCAAUCACCUCCUGUUUUGGUGUGGAAAGAAACUCUGCUCUGCCUUUGGGAGUCAGGACCAUCAGCGAAGAUGACAAAAACAGAGUUGCAUUUCUACUGACAAUUAAGGGGGAUCCUUAGUGGAUGUUUCACCACUCUUAUUACGGUGGCUUUAAAGAGCAGGAUGUAGUGGGGUCUACUUUGCUUUCUUGGAGAAAUUUGUCAUCUUCCAAUUCAGACUCUGAAGACCAGGGAGGAGCCAUUUCACAUUCCUCUGAGGAGGCAGCUGCAGCUUUCUGGAGUCCUUUUGGAGGCUUAAUGUCCUUACUCUUGCCUCUCUAUUUGGGAGUCAGCAGGCUAGUGAGUCACUCCCACAGACAGGGAAGAGCUGCAGGACCUGGCUGCCUGGAAAAUUUACCUUUGUUCAGUGGUUUUGAAGGAGUUAUUUUAUUGCUCUGGGAACUUUCUCUUCUGGUGGCUGCUGUGGAAUUUGGAGCACUGCAAGGAUCUCUUGCUGCCGGAAGGCUUUGUUCUUUCCCAGUGUCCCACCCAUCCGUGGAAAUGAGCUGUGCUGAGUCUCAUAAGGUGGCUACUCUUUCCUCAAUUUCUCUGAAGAAUGCCAGUCCCCCUCAAUCACAUGUUGUCUACAAGAAGAUGUCCCGUGAUAAAGCUGUGACUAUCUACCUGGGAAAACGAGACUUCAUUGACCACAUAGAUGGUGUGGAACCUGUAGAUGGUGUCUUGUUAGUGGAUCCCGAGAUCAUCAAGGGGAAGAAGGUGUAUGUGACUCUGACCUGUGCUUUCCGGUAUGGCCAAGAAGACAUUGAUGUGAUGGGUCUGACCUUCCGAAAGGAUCUUUUUUUCUCUAGGAUACAGUUGUACCCACCAGUGGAGAAAUGGGAAUCUCUCUCCCAAUUGCAGGAAUGUCUGAUGAAGAAGCUGGGGAACAAUGCUUACCCUUUUGUUUUAACAUUUCCAGACUAUCUGCCCUGUUCAGUUUCCCUGCAACCAGCCCCUAAUGAUGUCGGGAAGUGCUGCGGGGUGGACUUUGAGGUGAAAGCUUUCUGUACAGAGAACGUGGAAGAGCGAAUUCCCAAAAGGAAUUUUGUACGCCUGUUGAUCCGUAAAGUACAGUUUGCCCCAGAAGAACCAGGACCCCAACCUCAAGCUGAGACCACCUGGCAGUUUUUCAUGUCCAGCAAGCCACUGCACCUGAGAGCACGUCUAAGUAAAGAGGUGUUUUACCAUGGCGAGCCCAUUCCUGUCACUGUCACCGUGACCAACAAUACAGAGAAAACAGUGAAGAAGAUCAGAGUGCUGGUGGAGCAAGUUGCCAAUGUGGUUUUGUACUCGAGUGACUAUUACACGAAGGCGGUAGCAAUGGAGGAGCUGCAGGAGAAAGUGCAGCCAAAUAGUACCAUCACCAAGACAUUGAUACUUCUGCCCUUGCUGGCAAAUAACCGUGACAAACGGGGCAUAGCACUGGAUGGAAAGUUAAAGGAUGAAGACACAAACUUGGCUUCCAGUACCAUUAUUAAGGAUGGGAUAGACAAGACAGUGCUGGGGAUUCUGGUUGCCUACAAGGUGAAGGUGAAGCUCAUUGUCUCAGGAGUGCAAAUAAAGCUUCAAUCAAAAAUGUACCUCCAAGACUUCACUUGCCUACUGCACAAGGCUGAGAUGCACACCCUUGGGCCCAAACAUGCUGUGGUCCAGACCUUCUACCCACUGAGCUUCCUGGGAAAUUCUGGUGUUAUCCCCCACUACUUAGCUCUAUGGGGGACGUUCAGCUUCCUGAUAUCACUGGCAAUAUGGAAGGGGACAAGAAUAACUCUCAGCUGGUGGGAAGUGUUGAUUUGCACUUGCAUUCAGCAUCACCGGAUUCUCUGUGUCUCGAUCUUGUUAUAAUCUAAAUCAGGGUCAAUGGUUUGGCUUGUACUUGUGAUAAAAUAAGUGUUGCCUUGCAUGGUCUCCUGGCUUGUGUUUUGAUCCAUCCUGUGGAUUUAGGGGGCAGCUGUGAAUGGAGCCUUGUGAACAUUUGCUGUUUGAGGUUUAGAACCCCCUUCCCUCUUUCUACAGGAUGGAUUUGACAAAGUAACACUUAUUUAUAAGUAUCACCUAAUCUGAUUCUUUACCGUCUGAUUUCUUAUUCUUGCUUGCAUAAUUCUUUGAAGCAGAGAUGUUUAUAUUUGAGCAUUGCAUUGUGCGGGAGAAGAGAGAAAAGACAUGGGAGGGUGUGGGGAAAGGACCAGUGGGAACUGAGUUCAGUGGAGACGCUGCUAUAACUCAGUGGUUCAUAAACUCAUCAAACUACUAAAGAUCUGAUGGACAACUCUCCUCCCAUUCCAAAUCCCACCACCCCUUUCCUACAGCUACUGCAGCACUUGAUUAUACCUCCCCCCCCACCAAAAAAAAAUAAAUACUGAGACGGUGUUAAGGAGACGAGGAAAAUGAACUCUCUGCAAUAUAAUGGGAUGAGGCUUCCUGGUGGUGCCCACUCCGCCAUUUGUGUGUGCUUUUUCUUUCCCACCCUGGUGAUAGGAUUUUAUGUUAAUAUGGAAUCUUUCUUCCGUGCCUGCAGUCCUUACUGCUCUAAUUUCUCUAGCUCACUUUGGUUCACUCGUGUGUGUGUGUGUUACCUCAAAUUUUGGUGUCCUCUGCGGAACUGAUCAUAGCUGAAUCUACACAGAAGAAACACCCAGCCAAGAUAGACAUUAAGUAACAACGCAGGGUGCGGAGAUGUGCUUUGGGUUUCUCUAAUUUUAUUGGCCUAAAGAACCUCUUGAAAGCCUUAGGAUCCUGGACUGUGCUCCAGUAAGCAGGAAAUAUCUGUGCGGAAGCUUGGCAGAUGGGCCACCUGGAAGUGCUCCAGACCAUCAGAGACCCACCGUCUGAGAGCCAUUAUGCUAGAUGACUGAAGAGAGAAUAGGGCAUGGCUGGUUAGCUGGAGGCUUUGUCUUGUUUGGAUGUAUUUAUGGAGCAAAGGGCACAUUACAAGCACGUUUUUGUUUUUCUGUUUACCUAGCAUGCUGGGAGAUCUCACCUCCAGUGAAGUCAGCACAGAGCUUCCAUUCCGUCUCAUGCACCCCAAGCCUGAGGAGCCGAACAUAAGAGUUCCCAGGAUGAAAACCUGGUAUUUGAGGAGUUUUCUCGUCAACAGCUGCAAGAUUUGGAU